rnacentral:rRNA from 1 species
UACGUAGGGUGCGAGCGUUGUCCGGAAUUAUUGGGCGUAAAGCGCUUGUAGGCGGUUUGUCGCGUCUGCCGUGAAAAUCCGGGGCUCAACCCCGGACUUGCGGUGGGUACGGGCAGACUAGAGUGUGGUAGGGGAGACUGGAAUUCCUGGUGUAGCGGUGAAAUGCGCAGAUAUCAGGAGGAACACCGAUUGCGAAGGCAGCUCGCUGGGACGUCACUGACGCUGAGACGCGAAAGCGUGGGGAGCAAACAGG